AAUCCCAGCUGGGCCUCCUCCAAGGAGCCUUCUGAUCACUCACCAGAUAACUCUUAGCUGCUUGCAGCAUCCUGGGAAUCUUAGCUGCUCCAGGAAACCAGCUUCAAGGGCAACCAGCGCUUCUGAGGAGCUAGAAGCUGAAACUUCUCCGAAGCUGAAACUGCUCUGUCCCUUGGCCUCCUUAGGUUGGAAAUACUUUUGCAAUACCACUGAAUCCUGCGUUUUUUACCCCAUAUGAUGGGGUAAUGAAAAUGGAGUGGGACAUAUGAGAGAAAAGAUAGGCUCAAAAUAUGACUUAAUCCAGACACCUUUGUGUCUCUGAACCUGUGUGAUUUCUUCUUGGAGAUGAAGUAAACACCGUUUUACUCUGGGCAGAGGACUUGGGCUCCUUUUGAGAACUUUCAGCUCUGUAGUGUCAAGGCUUCUGGUUUCCAGACCCACAUCCUGCCCUGCAGGGAAUUGACAUCCAUCACGUAUGCUGUUCUUGGUCUGUUUAAUCAAACUUUCAUUUGAUGUUGGUUGGAAUUUCCCAUGUGGACCAAGUAUAGAAAAACCUCAGCAUCCAUCUAAACCCAGUGUUCCAGCAGCCACUCUCACUGAAUUGGAGUAGACACAUGAAAUGAAAUCUAUUUGCUAUAAUUGGACUAGAUGAUCUCCAGUGUCUCAGCUUUUAUGAGCUGCCUGAGGUGAGUACAUGCUGGAUGAAAAGUCGGGUGAUAGAUAGUUUGUACUGUCACUAAGCUCUAAGUAUUUUACUACUCAGUUGAGGGUUUAAAAAAAUUAUUAUUUUUAUAUGCCUACAAUUCACUGAUAUGUAAGCUUAUGUGGCCACUGAAAACUAUGGCAGGAAUUAUGUCUAGUGGGUAGAUCCAAGUGGAUUGUGACAAGGGAGGUCUGUUCAGCUUGGCUCGUCCUAAGGUUCAACCCAUAUUUGAAGCUGUCCUAAUAGAAACAGGCAGAAAUAAUCCAACCCACAUCUGAGUUCCCUCAUCCCACAGCACUAGGCUGGGACAUGUUGUUCUGUGUUAUGGCUAGUAAGAUGUGAUAUACAAACCGCCUGGUGGAUUAUAACCUCCUUGGAGUCAGGGAGGAAGUUCCAGUUAUCAUUUGAAUUCACAGCCUGGUCUGACAACUAAUGGGCUGUUUACCCCUUGACAAGUUACUUUCUCUGCCUCAAUUUUUAAUUCAUAGAACGCGAGGAAAACAAUAAUAACAUACUUCAGGGGUCUGUCAUGCACAUCAGAUGACAACAUUGAUGUAAAUGCCUAAAAGACCUCCUGGAAUAUUGCUGAUUUUUUUAUUAUUAUAAAAUCACAGCCUAGCACAAUGCCUGAUGAACAAGAGUUACUAGUGUGUGUUGACUGAUUUAGUUUUCAAAUCACCAGGAGAGGUGAGUAUCUACCUUUGGAGAGACUGAUCUAAGAAACAGCAGGAAAAUAAAUAUGACAGGAUCUGCCCA
rnacentral:lncRNA from 13 species